GAUGAACGCUGGCGGCGUGCCUAAUACAUGCAAGUCGAGCGAACAGACGAGGAGCUUGCUCCUCUGACGUUAGCGGCGGACGGGUGAGUAACACGUGGAUAACCUACCUAUAAGACUGGGAUAACUUCGGGAAACCGGAGCUAAUACCGGAUAAUAUAUUGAACCGCAUGGUUCAAUAGUGAAAGACGGUUUUGCUGUCACUUAUAGAUGGAUCCGCGCCGCAUUAGCUAGUUGGUAAGGUAACGGCUUACCAAGGCAACGAUGCGUAGCCGACCUGAUAGGGUGAUCGGCCACACUGGAACUGAGACACGGUCCAGACUCCUACGGGAGGCAGCAGUAGGGAAUCUUCCGCAAUGGGCGAAAGCCUGACGGAGCAACGCCGCGUGAGUGAUGAAGGUCUUCGGAUCGUAAAACUCUGUUAUUAGGUAAGAACAAAUGUGUAAGUAACUAUGCACGUCUUGACGGUACCUAAUCAGAAAGCCACGGCUAACUACGUG
rnacentral:rRNA from 1 species